rfam:Gossypium hirsutum cultivar TM-1 chromosome 19, whole genome shotgun sequence
AGUUAAUUGUCAUCUAUUCCUACUGUUAAAACCUAGCAUGAUUGACUGAAUAACCAAACAGUGACAUGUGGCGUGCCAUGUGUACCUCAUGUUGACAUAAAGAGACCAAUUUUUAAUGGUAGAAAUGGAUAAAAUUUUUAACA